UGGUGGAGCGAUUUGUCUGGUUAAUUCCGGUAUGCUAAAUAGGCGUCGUCAUUUAGGUGUGCGUGGCUCCGUCACGCAACUCACUGGCGACGUAUUAAAAUUCUUCUUAGAGGGACCGGCGGCUUCGAGCCGCACGAGAUUGAGCAAUAACA
rnacentral:rRNA from 1 species